rnacentral:rRNA from 1 species
GACCGAUCUAAGGUGAAACCGCGAAUGGCUCAUUAAAUCAGUGGUAAUUUCUUGGAUAGUGAAAAACUUUCCUCGGAUAACUGUGGAAAAUCCAGAGCUAAUACGUGCAACUGAGCUCCGACCUAGGCGCGAGCCUUGGGAAGAGCGCAUUUAUUAGAUUCAAAACUGACCGGUGUAUUCCUUCGGGAUUCACCGAUUGUCAAAUGUUUGAUGACUCCGGAUAACUUAGCCGAGCGCUACGGUCUUUAGUACCGGCGCUGUAUCUUUCAAGUGUCUGCCUUAUCAGCUUUCGAUUGUAGGUUAAACGCCUACAAUGGCUGUAACGGGUAACGGGGAAUCAGGGUUCGAUUCCGGAGAGGGAGCCUGAGAAACGGCUACCACAUCUAAGGAAGGCAGCAGGCACGCAAAUUACCCACUCCCAGCCUGGGGAGGUAGUGACGA